UACGGAGGGUGCGAGCGUUGUCCGGAAUCACUGGGCGUAAAGGGCGCGUAGGUGGCUACUCAAGCGCGCGGUGAAAGCCCGGGGCUCAACCCCGGGUCGGCCGUGCGGACUGGGAGGCUCGAGCACUGUAGGGGCGGGUGGAAUUCCGGGUGUAGCGGUGGAAUGCGUAGAGAUCCGGAAGAACACCGGUGGCGAAAGCGCUCUGCUAGGCCGCAACUGACACUGAGGGACGAAAGCUAGGGGAGCGAAUGGG
rnacentral:rRNA from 1 species